CCACAAGCGACAUCGCUUUUAGUCAGUCACAAAUGUCCGUGGUAGGAUGAUGUUUGAUUUUCUGUAGGAUGUAUGGAUAGGCUGACUAUUGGGCUAUGACAGUGAGUUCGAAACAAUAUUCAGAUUCAGAAAUAUUAAAAGUUAAAGAUUCAAAGACACAAAGUAACGAACGAGAAAUAUUACAACGUUUCGAAACACUGCUUGAAAGUCGGCAGGACAAUUUAUAUUUGCACCAAAAGAAAUUCGUCAAUAGCCAGGUUUUCAUUACUGAGUGAGAUGGAGGCCUAUCAAGUCUGCAGAACAACUUUCUGAAACACUUCUUGAAAGCGGGAAAGACAAUUUAUCAUUAUAUCUAAAGACAUGCGGAAUUAUUUGUCCGAUUAUGCAUCACUGAGAGAGGUGGCUACCUCGAGUCUAAAGAGCAAGUA